CGUAGUGGUGCAAGCGUUAUCCGGAUUUACUGGGUGUAAAGGGAGUGUAGGUGGCAUGGCAAGCCAGAAGUGAAAGCCCGUGGCUCAACUACGGGACUGCUUUUGGAACUGUUGUGCUGGAGUGCAGGAGGGGUAAGCGGAAUUCCUGGUGUAGCGGUGAAAUGCGUAGAUAUCAGGAGGAACACCGGUGGCGAAGGCGGCUUACUGGACUGUAACUGACACUGAGGCUCGAAAGCGUGGGGGAGCAAACAGGAUU
rnacentral:rRNA from 1 species